rnacentral:rRNA from 1 species
UACCGCAUACGCCCUUCGGGGGAAAGCAGGGGAUCUUCGGACCUUGCGCUAUUGGAUGUGCCUAUGUCGGAUUAGCUAGUUGGUGGGGUAAGAGCCUACCAAGGCGACGAUCCGUAGCUGGUCUGAGAGGAUGAUCAGCCACAUCGGGACUGAGACACGGCCCGAACUCCUACGGGAGGCAGCAGUGGGGAAUAUUGGACAAUGGGGGCAACCCUGAUCCAGCCAUGCCGCGUGUGUGAAGAAGGCUUUCGGGUUGUAAAGCACUUUCAGUGAGGAGGAAAACCUUACGACUAAUACUCUUGAGGCUUGACGUUACUCACAGAAGAAGCACCGGCUAACUCCGUGCCAGCAGCCGCGGUAAUACGGAGGG